AUGGAAGAAAACGAUGGUGGUGAUGACAAAAUAUGGUGUAGUCGUGUCGGUUGUGGUCUGGGUGUGUGCAUAGUUUUAAUAGUGGUGUCGUGGAUUCACGUCGUAGCAUACGUGGGGUGCACAGUAACGUUUCGUAGCAAGGGACCUUGCAGAUUCGCGGGCUUGAAAGCAAGUGAACUGGAUGGCUCGGUUGUGUGUGGUGGUGAUCUCCGACAGUUGCAAGUGAAAAUUUCAUGA